UACAGAGGUCUCAAGCGUUGUUCGGAUUCAUUGGGCGUAAAGGGUGUGUAGGUGGCGCGCUAAGUCGGGUGUGAAAUUUCGGAGCUUAACUCCGAAACUGCAUUCGAUACUGGCGUGCUUGAGGACUGGGAGAGGAGACUGGAAUUCAUGGUGUAGCAGUGAAAUGCGUAGAGAUCAUGAGGAAGACCAGUGGCGAAGGCGGGUCUCUGGACAGUUCCUGACGCUGAGGCACGAAGGCCAGGGGAGCAAACGGG
rnacentral:rRNA from 1 species